rnacentral:rRNA from 1 species
CAGUAGCCGCGGUAAUACGUAGGGUGCGAGCGUUAAUCGGAAUUACUGGGCGUAAAGCGUGCGCAGGCGGUUGUGUAAGACAGGUGUGAAAUCCCCGGGCUUAACCUGGGAACUGCGCUUGUGACUGCACAGCUAGAGUAUGGCAGAUGGGGGUGGAAUUCCACGUGUAGCAGUGAAAUGCGUAGAGAUGUGGAGGAACACCGAUGGCGAAGGCAGCCCCCUGGGCCAAUACUGACGCUCAUGCACGAAAGCGUGGGGAGCAAACAGGAUUAGAUACCCCCGUAGUCCCUGUCUCUUAUAC